UGACUAUAUGUGGCCCAAUGACAGACUGGCGUCCUGUCCAGGGUGCACCCCACCUCCCACCCUAUGACUGCUGGGAUUGGCUCCAGGCUCACUGUGACCCUUAACUGGAGUAAGCGGUUCAUAUAUUUCUUA